AACUUUUAAACAUGAACUGAAAAAAAAAAUUAUAUUUAGAAAUAAAAUCCGGUCCUGUCUACAGGACAUUUGAACUACCGCUGAAAAAUGAACUGGCAAACGUGAGGUUUACUUUGGUGAGGUUAUGAUAGCGAAAUCAAAAUAUUUUUACACAUAAAAAUGUAAAAAUACAUUUAUAUUCAUCAAAAAUGGUGAUAGAUACAUGCCCAACAUGCAGCAAACAGCUUGAACCCAAACAAAUUAACAUGACCCAUGCAAUUUUGAUUUGUACCGAUCUAAAAUGCCCCUAUCCCGUAAACGAAAGCCAGUGUAUCGUUAUCACGAGAGGUAUAGACGAUAUUAAUAAAAAGUUAGAUUUAUCAGCGAUAAGUCAAAGAAAUAAUGACAAAGAUAAUAUGACACCAUUAAUGGACGAACUUGAAGCAUUCCUAAACAGCCAAGCAGCAUCUUUGGAAUUUACAAGCAACAACACAACAUAUGAAAAUAAUACAACAAAUGAACUAAGUUCAGAAUUAGACAAUUUUCUUGUUGAUUUAUUACAGUAAGAAAAGUUAGGUACUUACUUCAUGAGAAUGCGUUUCUAGAAACAAAGAAAUAUCACUUAACACACCUUUUACUUCGAAAGAAUACAUUCCGUGACAAAAAUAAAGAUCGGUAUCAUUUUUCUUUGUUGAAAUUCUUAAAUCGAAAUAUCUGAAAUAAUAAAUAGUUUCAUCUAAUAAAGCUUGUUUUUC